AUUGAACGCUGGCGGCAUGCCUUACACAUGCAAGUCGAACGGUAACAGGUCUUUCGGGAUGCUGACGAGUGGCGAACGGGUGAGUAAUACAUCGGAACGUGCCUAGUAGUGGGGGAUAACUACUCGAAAGAGUGGCUAAUACCGCAUGAGAUCUAUGGAUGAAAGCAGGGGACCUUCGGGCCUUGCGCUACUAGGGCGGCCGAUGGCAGAUUAGGUAGUUGGUGGGAUAAAAGCUUACCAAGCCUACGAUCUGUAGCUGGUCUGAGAGGACGAUCAGCCACACUGGGACUGAGACACGGCCCAGACUCCUACGGGAGGCAGCAGUGGGGAAUUUUGGACAAUGGGCGCAAGCCUGAUCCUGCAAUGCCGCGUGCAGGAUGAAGGCCUUCGGGUUGUAAACUGCUUUAGUACGGAACGAAAAGUCUUGGGUUAAUACCCUGGGAUCAUGACGGUACCGUAAGAAUAAGCACCGGCUAACUACGUGCCAGCCGCCGCUGUAAAAC
rnacentral:rRNA from 1 species